UUUUGGACAAUGGGCGCAAGCCUGAUCCAGCAAUGCCGCGUGAGUGAAGAAGGCCUUCGGGCUGUGAACCGCUUUCAGCAGGAACGAAAAUGACGGUACCUGCAGAAGAAGGAGCGGCCAACUACGUGCCAGCAGCCGCGGUGACACGUAGGCUCCAAGCGUUGUCCGGAUUUAUUGGGCGUAAAGAGCUCGUAGGCGGUUUAGUAAGUCGGGUGUUAAAACUCUGGGCUCAACCCGGAGAGGCCAUCCGAUACUGCUGUGACUUGAGUUCAGGAGGGGAGCGGGGAAUUCCUAGUGUAGCGGUGAAAUGCGCAGAUAUUAGGAGGAACACCGGUGGCGAAGGCGCCGCUCUGGACUGAAACUGACGCUGAGAGCGAAA
rnacentral:rRNA from 1 species